rfam:Parcubacteria (Magasanikbacteria) bacterium GW2011_GWA2_37_8 TS58_C0010, whole genome shotgun sequence.
GCGGGAUUAGUACAUUGGUAGUAUGCGUCCUUCCCAAGGAUGAGAGGCCAGUUCGAUUCUGGUAUCCCGCU